rnacentral:rRNA from 1 species
UACAGAGGUCUCAAGCGUUGUUCGGAUUCAUUGGGCGUAAAGGGUGCGUAGGCGGCGCGGUAAGUCGGGUGUGAAAUCUCGGAGCUUAACUCCGAAACUGCAUUCGAUACUGCCGUGCUUGAGGACUGGAGAGGAGACUGGAAUUUACGGUGUAGCGGUGAAAUGCGUAGAUAUCAGGAGGAACACCGAUGGCGAAGGCAGGUCUCUGGGCCACUACUGACGCUGAGGAGCGAAAGCAUGGGGAGCGAACAGG